CUCGUGACUGCGUGCCUUUUGAAGAAUGAGCCUGCGAGUUUGCGGUGUGUUGCGAGGUUAACCCGGGUGGGGAAGCCGUAGCGAAAGCGAGUCCGAACAGGGCGGUUUUAGUAGCACGCUCAAGACCCGAAGCGGAGUGAUCUAGCCAUGGGCAGGUUGAAGCGGCUGUAAGAGGUCGUGGAGGACCGAACCCACCAGGGUUGAAAACCUGGGGGAUGACCUGUGGUUAGGGGUGAAAGGCCAAUCAAACUCCGUGAUAGCUGGUUCUCCCCGAAAUGCAUUUAGGUGCAGCGUCGUGUGUUUCUUGCCGGAGGUAGAGCACUGGAUAGGCGAUGGGCCCUACCGGGUUACUGACCUUAGCCAAACUCCGAAUGCCGGUAAGUGAGAGCGCGGCAGUGAGACUGUGGGGGAUAAGCUCCAUGGUCGAGAGGGAAACAGCCCAGAGCAUCGACUAAGGCCCCUAAGCGUACGCUAAGUGGGAAAGGAUGUGGAGUCGCACAGACAACCAGGAGGUUGGCUUAGAAGCAGCCACCCUUGAAAGAGUGCGUAAUAGCUCACUGGUCUAGUGAUUCCGCGCCGACAAUGUAGCGGGGCUCAAGCGUACCGCCGAAGUCGUGUCAUUGCAGCAAUACGGCCAACGCCGGCUGUGAUGGGUAGGGGAGCGUCGUGUGCCGGGUGAAGCAGCCGCGGAAGCGAGUUGUGGACGGUUCACGAGUGAGAAUGCAGGCAUGAGUAGCGAUACAAACGUGAGAAACGUUUGCGCCGAUUGACUAAGGGUUCCUGGGUCAAGCUGAUCUGCCCAGGGUAAGUCGGGACCUAAGGCGAGGCCGACAGGCGUAGUCGAUGGAUAACCGGUUGAUAUUCCGGUACCCGCUGUGAAGCGUCAAACAUCGAACCAGGCGAUGCUAAGUCCGUGAAGCCGCCCUUGAUCUCUUCGGAGUGAUGGGGAGUGGUGGAGCCGAUGAUCCAGACCUGUAGUAGGUGAGUGAUGGGGUGACGCAGGAAGGUAGUCCAUCCCGGGCGGUGGUUGUCCCGGGGUAAGGGUGUAGGACGUCAGGUAGGUAAAUCCGCCUGGCAUGUGUCUGAGACCUGAUGCCGAGCCGAUUGUGGUGAAGUGGAUGAUCCUAUGCUGUCGAGAAAAGCCUCUAGCGAGUUUCAUGGCGGCCCGUACCCUAAACCGACUCAGGUGGUCAGGUAGAGAAUACCGAGGCGUUCGGGUGAACUAUGGUUAAGGAACUCGGCAAAAUGCCCCCGUAACUUCGGGAGAAGGGGGGCCACACCUGGUGACGAUCUUUACGGUCUGAGCUGGGGGUGGCCGCAGAGACCAGCGAGAAGCGACUGUUUACUAAAAACACAGGUCCGUGCGAAGCCGUAAGGCGAUGUAUACGGACUGACGCCUGCCCGGUGCUGGAACGUUAAGGGGACCGGUUAGCUCCAUUUCGGUGGGGCGAAGCUGAGAACUUAAGCGCCAGUAAACGGCGGUGGUAACUAUAACCAUCCUAAGGUAGCGAAAUUCCUUGUCGGGUAAGUUCCGACCUGCACGAAUGGCGUAACGACUUCUCGACUGUCUCAACCAUAGGCCCGGUGAAAUUGCACUACGAGUAAAGAUGCUCGUUUCGCGCAGCAGGACGGAAAGACCCCGGGACCUUUACUACAGUUUGAUAUUGGUGUUCGGUUCGGCUUGUGUAGGAUAGCUGGGAGACUGUGAAGCUCGCACGCCAGUGUGGGUGGAGUCGUCGUUGAAAUACCAGUCUGGUCGUGCUGGAUGUCUAACCUGGGUCCGUGAUCCGGAUCAGGGACAGUGUCUGAUGGGUAGUUUAACUGGGGCGGUUGCCUCCUAAAGAGUAACGGAGGCGCCCAAAGGUUCCCUCAGCCUGGUUGGCAAUCAGGUGUUGAGUGUAAGUGCACAAGGGAGCUUGACUGUGAGACCGACGGGUCGAGCAGGGACGAAAGUCGGGACUAGUGAUCCGGCGGUGGCUUGUGGAAGCGCCGUCGCUCAACGGAUAAAAGGUACCCCGGGGAUAACAGGCUGAUCUUCCCCAAGAGUCCAUAUCGACGGGAUGGUUUGGCACCUCGAUGUCGGCUCGUCGCAUCCUGGGGCUGGAGUCGGUCCCAAGGGUUGGGCUGUUCGCCCAUUAAAGCGGUACGCGAGCUGGGUUUAGAACGUCGUGAGACAGUUCGGUCCCUAUCCGCUGUGCGCGUAGGAGUCUUGAGAAGGGCUGUCCCUAGUACGAGAGGACCGGGACGGACGAACCUCUGGUGUGCCAGUUGUUCUGCCAAGGGCAUGGCUGGUUGGCUACGUUCGGGAGGGAUAACCGCUGAAAGCAUCUAAGCGGGAAGCCUGCUUCGAGAUGAGGACUCCCACCCACUUGAUGGGGUAAGGCUCCCAGUAGACGACUGGGUUGAUAGGCCGGAUCUGGAAGCACCGUGAGGUGUGGAGGUGACCGGUACUAAUAGGCCGAGGGCUUGUCCUCAGUUG
rnacentral:rRNA from 1 species